rnacentral:lncRNA from 1 species
CUGGGAUCGGGGAGCAACUGAAGGCCUGGCUGCUGGAAUGCUCCUGAAACACAUUAGGAAUCUGAAGAGAAGAUGGCAAAAGAGUCUGAGAGGCAGUGGCCAGAAGGAGAAGGAAAGCAGGUGGAUGUGAAGAAAGUGUUCAACGUGGAGGGAGGAACCAGCCAUGUCAAAUGAUGCUGACAGCCAGGCAAGAUGAGGACCAAGAAAUGUCCACUGCAUUUAGCAAAAUGAGGACAUUGGUGACCUUGACAAGAACAGUGUCAGGGAUGACAGUGUGAUUGGGGUGGAUUCAAGGGAGAAUGGGAGGAGAGAAUUUGGAGAUGAUGAGUCCAGACAAUCAUUUUGGAAGUGUAGGAAGCUGAGGCAUCACCCGAGAAGAAGGCUCAGCGAGUCCGUGUAAGGCAAGCGGGACUGUAAGCUCCAUGAGGACAGGAACCUUGUCUCUUGUUCGCCAUCGCCCCGCUGUGUGAGCACAGUGCUAGGGAUGUACUAGGUGUUCAAAAGGCAUAUAUUGGAUGAUGAGCUAAUGAAUGGCAAAAUGGGCAGAUUAUCACAGUACCUGAAACCACAGGACCUCACCCUAAAUGGGCACAGGCCAGAUGCCCAGUGCUUUUUUUUUUUUUUUUUUUUUGAGAUGUGGUCUCACUCUGUUGCUCAGCCUGGAGUGCAGUGGCGCAAUCACCAACCACUGCAGCCUCGACUUCCUGGGUUCAGGCAAUCCUCCCACCUCAGCUUCCUGAGCAGCUGGGACUACAGGUGUGCACCACCACACCCAGCUAAUUUUUGUACUUUUUGUAGAGACAGGGCUUUGCCAUGUUGCCCAGGCUGUUAUCGAAUUCCUGUGCUCAAGUGAUCCACCCACCUCCACCUCCAAAAAUGCUGGGAUUACAGGCGUGAGCCACCAUGCCUAGCCUGCCCGGUGCUAUUCUGAUUCAUACACUUAUAUUUAUAGCCAUCAAAUCUCAGGGCUUCCUUGGGUCCCUGGGCGACCUCUGGCCAGUCUCUUUCCUGCUCUUGCCUCUCUCACCGAGCUUAGAAGAGGCUAGGCUUAGGGCUUCUUGUAAAAUGACCAGCUUUCUCUAAUUGAAGACCAGGGUACCCUAUCACAUUUGUAUCUAUUCUUUGCUCUUUUUCUCUUUCCUAGUGACCCUCAUGUUGUCAUAUUUGUUGCCAAGCUCACUAAGGAGGGCACCACGGGACCAGGGUUGUCACCUCUAGGCAGAGGGGAAGCUUGAAAAUGACAACACAUGGCCCUAGGAUGUUCAUAGGCACCAUCACAAUUCAACUGCUUCCUCAAGGCCCAGGGAAUAUUUUUCUUUGCAAACUACUAGUAUUCUAUCAGUAUGACUAGUAGUUUAAAUUGUUUGGAAUCUUCUGGUCCAAGGCAGAGCUGUGGGGCUGUGGAGGCAAAGUCCUGCCUGAAAUGGGACCCCCUGCAGGGUGCCUGAAGUCUAAGGGUCUGGGUCCUCAGCCACGGAUCACACAGCCUGGAGCCUGUGAGUGGGGAGCCCCUGCCACACUUCCCUCAGCCAGAAUCCUAAACCCGCAGGAGUCCCGGGGCUCUGCGACACUCUCUAGCCCAACUCUCUUCAACACCAAACCCCUUAUGCAUCUGUCAGAUGGUCCUUCAACUUCUGGGUGAAGUGCCGGUUUAAAAGUGAACUGCCAGAGAAGCAGUCGCUCCAGAUGUCUUCAAAGGCCAGUGUCUGUAACCCCAUCUGUUCUUACCUCAAAGGCCAGGCUCCCAUCCAUCAUGAUGGGGAGAGGUGGGAAAGGGCUGGCUGGUCCUGUCAACUCCGAUAAACAGGUGAAACACUGGCCAGGUGUU